rnacentral:rRNA from 1 species
UACAGAGGUCUCAAGCGUUGUUCGGAUUCAUUGGGCGUAAAGGGUGCGUAGGCGGCGCGGUAAGUCGGGUGUGAAAUCUCGGAGCUUAACCUCGAAACUGCAUUCGAUACUGCCGUGCUUGAGGACUGGAGAGGAGACUGGAAUUUACGGUGUAGCGGUGAAAUGCGUAGAUAUCGUAAGGAAGACCAGUGGCGAAGGCGGGUCUCUGGACAGUUCCUGACGCUGAGGCACGAAGGUCAGGGGAGCAAACGGG